ensembl:snoRNA
ACCUCCUACAAAGGCGCAAUUGCAUUGGCCUGCUUGCAAAUGCGUAAGAACUGGAGGAAAAGAAGUUGAAUGAUGUAUUUCAUGUUAACUACCUGCUCUUGCAGUUAGUGACUACGCAUUCAGACACUU